AAACAAUCUAUUCAAGGGCUCUGGUUAAAUUGUCUGUAGUGUUGUGGAGACACAGAGGAGCUGUAGUGUUUGGAGAAGUGACGUCAGGCCUACGUCGCGCUUACGUCACUUCUUGAGGGCAGCCAUAACUGUUGAUAGUAGUUGGUGAUCGUCGUCCGGUCGGUUUAACCGUCUCCUCUCCGGUUUCUCUUCGUCCCUCUUCGAUGGGCGGGAAAAACUGCUGCGUUAGAAACUGCCGCCGCAGGUCUCACGACCACCGCGGGAGGAAGAUCCCCAACGGACUCACCUUCCCCUGUUUCCCGCCUGGAGGAGGAAGGAGGGCGCCCAGACCUCCGAGCUGACGCGGCGGAGGAGGGCGGGCUGGGCGGCCGCCGUCAGCCGGAGCAGCAUCACCUUCAACCACAUCCCCACCUCCAUGAGACUGUGACCCAUAGACUUCCACCCCGGUAAACCGGUGUAUGAGACGCCAGAGUCAGAUCCAGACCGGGUCCCGUCGCUACACCUGGGUCACGGUGAAGGAAACACCAGACGAGCCGGACGCCUCUUGGUGUCUGCGCGGUCGAAGACGGAGAGGAAAGGAAGAUGGACGCUAGAGACGAGACCACCAGAGGAGCUGAGAGGAUCAGAGGUGCGGGGAGGCUGGCGGUCCGUCCCGGACUGAACUGAGGUCUCUGCUGCGGUCGGCUCUGCAGAAACCAGGAAACAGCCUGAGCUCCAGAGUACGAGCCAGAUCUUCACUUUAUUAUGAUUCACCACAUUUUACUGAUGAAUCACGACUCAGUUCAGCCCAGACCCGAGUCAUGUGGACCGACAAUGUGUCCAUGUAACUGUGCAGAACUGUGGUUUAUUAGAUCUCUAACAGACGAGGUGGACUGGAAUGAGCUUCAAACAUGAAAAAGUUUUUUUAUUAUAUGAAAAAUAUUCAAGGUGAAAAACAAUUGAAUCAUAUGAGAGCAUCCAAAAAGCCAAACAAUAAAAGUCCAUAAAACAGAA